rnacentral:rRNA from 2 species
GUGGGGGAGCUAUACAUGCAAGUCGAGCGAACUGAUUAGAAGCUUGCUUCUAUGACGUUAGCGGCGGACGGGUGAGUAACACGUGGGCAACCUGCCUGUAAGACUGGGAUAACUUCGGGAAACCGAAGCUAAUACCGGAUAGGAUCUUCUCCUUCAUGGGAGAUGAUUGAAAGAUGGUUUCGGCUAUCACUUACAGAUGGGCCCGCGGUGCAUUAGCUAGUUGGUGAGGUAACGGCUCACCAAGGCAACGAUGCAUAGCCGACCUGAGAGGGUGAUCGGCCACACUGGGACUGAGACACGGCCCAGACUCCUACGGGAGGCAGCAGUAGGGAAUCUUCCGCAAUGGACGAAAGUCUGACGGAGCAACGCCGCGUGAGUGAUGAAGGCUUUCGGGUCGUAAAACUCUGUUGUUAGGGAAGAACAAGUACGAGAGUAACUGCUCGUACCUUGACGGUACCUAACCAGAAAGCCACGGCUAACUACGUGCCAGCAGCCGCGGUAAUACGUAGGUGGCAAGCGUUAUCCGGAAUUAUUGGGCGUAAAGCGCGCGCAGGCGGUUUCUUAAGUCUGAUGUGAAAGCCCACGGCUCAACCGUGGAGGGUCAUUGGAAACUGGGGAACUUGAGUGCAGAAGAGAAAAGCGGAAUUCCACGUGUAGCGGUGAAAUGCGUAGAGAUGUGGAGGAACACCAGUGGCGAAGGCGGCUUUUUGGUCUGUAACUGACGCUGAGGCGCGAAAGCGUGCACAC